CGGUGACUCCCAACUUCUUUGCAAGUCCAAGUUCAAGACGCGAUCAGCUGGCCUGGCUGUCAACUGUCAACAUCGCCGCCGUGAGGGUUCGGCGGGUGCUGUCAGUGACAUUAGCUGGUCUAAAAUUUGUUUUACUAAGGAGUGUAGCAAAGAAAAGAAGACGAGGAAUAUCGUUUACUUUGGAACCGAACAUCGAAAAGACAAUGGAGGGAGAAGAGAUAUGUAGAGAGGACAGAAGAGAUUGCUGGCUGUAACAGAAGUCACACACCUGUGCACCAUGGAAGCCAAGCCCACAGAGAAUGCAGCAGUGGGGUCCAAACAGCAGGUGAAGGACUUGCUGGCUCACAUGGACCCCAUGAUAUACCUUGCUGGUACUGCUGAUAACACUUCUGAAAUGCUGAUGUACCUUGCUGACAUGGAUCCAUCAUUCCAUAAGCUGCAAUUGGUCAAGAGUUUAAGGCGAGGAAUGCGAGAAGAUCUAAGCAGCGCCAUUGAAGAGCAUGUUGAUAAGUAUCUUCAAGAACAGAAGGGAAAAAUGCACGCUGAAAACCCAGUUGAUUACUUGGUGGAUGAAGUUUUAGCAGAUUGCAAAUAUGAAAACUUUGUUAGAGAUACUAAGUCAAGCCUUGAGAGUUCGAUUUCUAAGAUUUCAGAUAACUUUGAUGAUGAGAUUGUGACUGGUAUGUUUGGUAAUGAUGAUGAUGAUCCCACAUAUAGUGUUAGCCCAAAUGAGUCUAAUGAAUCCUCCCUCAAUUCGUCCCUCAAUCAAUCCGGGUUGAUGUUCCUGCACCCUGCUCAGUAUGACAACAUAGCAGAGAACUUGAUGACCAAGAGAGAUUAUGAGUCCCGCAAUGAUGCCCUGAAUAUAUUGAUAUCAGUAACCCCCAGUGAGCCAGUGAUGCAGGAUGGCUGGGCAGACAUAAGGAGGGGCCUGAGGGACUGCCUGCUUGAUGAGUGUGGUGACAUCUUUGACAAAUCUCUGAAGGUUCAUUGCAGGCUUCUCACCUCCCAGGUGCACAAUGCUGUCAAGGAGGCAUACCUGAAUCUCCUUGAUGCUGUGGCAGGGUUUUAUUUUUCCAAACAUCAUGUGGCCAAAAUUCCAGUGCAAGGAGAAAAGAUACAUUUGAAGACCUGUGAAGGUAUGAUAAGGAUCCUAAAAGUAUUAAUAGAAUUUCAAAAUGAAUUUCCUCUCAUUUGGAUAAGAUAUCCUGAGAGGUUUGUUGAUGACAUGAUAGAGGCAACCAUAAGCCUUUUGGCACUACAGCCCCCCGGCAGAGAUCUACAACUGGUAACGGUGUUGGACAUGUACAGUGUGAUGGACCCUGAGGCCUCAUGGCUUAAGAGGUGGUUACAUGGCCACUGGGGCAGGACCAAGACCUUUAUUGCCAUGAGGAGUAACUCUCUAGUGCUCCUCAAUUCUGUGUCCUUCUGUAUUAAGUAUCUAGAGAGCUGCACUCUCACCACACACACAGAGCCAAUUGGAGAUAUUCUAAGUGCAGGUCUUGUCUCCCACCUACAAUUUACACAUAGCAUAAACCUUAUCUUGGCUGUCAUGAGUUUUCUUGAUGGAAGAAAGCUUUUCCCAGUGAAUGUUCCUUCCAAGGAUGAAUUGGUGACCUCACAAGGGAUUCUGCAGAUGCUGAUCAAAGCAGUGAACAGCAAUACUUCAAAAGUAAUAACUUCACAGAUAAGUGACUUAUUGUGCAAGUUCUGUUCCCAGGAUGAAGCAAAGUGUUCAGUCAUAUGUGAUGCAGGCAUCGUUGAAAUACUGCUGCAGGGGGUAAGCAGACUUGAAGACGGACAAGCUAAACAAGAAAACUCAGAAGUUAGGGGUUCAUGCACUUAUAUGAGGGCAGUGUUACAUCUGCUGGACACCAUAACAUCAACUCAUGUGGGCCAGAGGUAUAUCCUGCUGGGAAGGAAGAGAAAACCAAGCUCAAGAUCUGGGUUGUCAGGGACCUCCAGCAGCAUGGCUAGUGAAGUGUUGGAUCUGAUUCUGUUCCUGAUGAGGUGCAGGCAUGCUGCCUCAGACCUGAAGCGCCUUGGCAUCAGUAUUUGUAGUAGUUUACUUUCUUCCCCGAUUGGAAUUCAUGUAUGCAUUGAUCAUCCUUUCAUAGAGAGCUUCCUUGGACAUCUGAAGGAAAGAAGUCAAGCAGCAUCACAGGCAAGACUUACAGAUGAUGAAGAUGAAAGAGCCUGUGAGCCAUUCACUCUCAGUGUGCCUCAGUCUGUUCCACUGCUCACCACCUUGCUGCUUUCUUUUAGGGGAGUUUUCCUUCUGGAGGGAGAAGGAGUGCUCUUCCUUGCCAUGAGUCGUGUGAUGCCAGAGCUGAUUAGGAAGGGCGACCUCAACCCUAGGAUCCUUGCCCACCUAUGUUCUUCUCACCAAGGCUGUUCCCUACUGAGUGGCCACAAUGUGAUAUGCCCGCUGUGGGACACUGUGAUACAGGUGGUGAAGGGGGAGGAACUCACACAGGGCCGUCCACUUCUGCAAGAGGAGAAGGAGGAGGCCAUGGGGGUGGCACUGACUCCAUUACUCACUCUCUUGUCAACAUUCCAAGGCACUCGUCUCAUCUUCAGCCGGGAGAGUCUGCUGGAGCCACUCUCAGAGGCACUCUUCUCUGCCAGUGAGCUUCAGUCAGACCUCCACACCAUUGCCCAGCAGCUCCUUGUCUCCUCCACAUCUGUUCCAGAUUCUGUGGCAUUCCUCCAGUCAUCUCUUGCCUAUCAGGAGCAGCUACUUGCACAACAGAUGCAGAUGAGGGUUGUAGAAGGAGAGGCCAUUGCUGUAGAUGAAAAUUCCAUUCUGCGGAACCACAUCCUGGUGAAGUCAUUCCUUAUAGGUGGCAGUGGGGAGAGGCUGUUACCACCUCACACCCUGAACGAUGCCUUGCCUUCCAACACACCAGUACUGUUCAGCCAGUAUCCUCCCCCACGGGACUACAUCCCUGAAAAGCCCAUCCGAUCCAUGCACAAGAAACAAAAUGAAGUGUGGAGGUUCCUCUCGGACACUCGUCAUGGCCUGCAUGACGUGGGUUGGCUCAACCACUGCCGCAAAGCUGUUUGCUCUGUCCUCAAGUCAGGGGAAGAAAUCAAGAGUUGGCUUGUCAUGGACCUUAUAGACAGGACAGUGCGGGUGCUCCUUUCUAACCCCGAGGAGCUUCUUCCUGGCUGCCAUAUCCCUCAGCCACCCUCUCCAGGAACACCCCACAGCCUUGCCUCUCCUACUGUUUACUCCAAGGGAUGGAGUUUUUCCUCUGCUUCAACUCCCUCACCUAUUGGUCAGGAGAACCUCCAGAACUUAAAUAGGAACAGAAGUUCUGACUUGCAAGAACUUCCAGAAUACCACAGUGUUGCUAUAGAGCUUGUUCUUAGGUAUGGUAGUGAAUUGCAGCUCCUCAUUGCUAGUGGAAGCCUGCGAGAGAACUUGAUGGAUGUGCUGAAGUACACACAGUCCAACAUUCUUCUUGAUGCAUACGACAAAUGUGAUUGGUUCACAAUGGCUCUUUUCCUGGUGUAUGGAGGCAGUUAUGACAGAUGUGUGUCAGCCCUCACCAAUGUAGGAGUUCUGCUUACUGGGGCUGUGCUGUGGCCAUCCCUUGCUGACUCCCUCUCCCACAGUUUUGAAAUACUGCCAGGAGAGAUGGUCCUUGGUGGCAUCAUUCAUAAUGUUCAGCUCAUCCUUAGUAUAGAGAUUCCAGCACUUUAUAUGGCCUUGCAGGCAAGUGAUGCAUGUCUGUGGAGUGUUCUUGGGGAAUGGGUGCGGUGUGUGUUCCUGGGUGUGCUGCCAUGGACAGAGGUGUGCCACUACUUGGUGCUGGUGUUGCUGCUCGGACCAGACUUUACCAUCUACUUCCUGGUGGCACUGGUCAAGCACCUUCAAGGCCCCAUCACAAGGCAAGCCAGGAGCCACAAGGCAGUGCUUCAUUUGCAGACGAGUGUCAUCCGUGGGUGGCGUGCUGGGGAGCAGAUGGGCUUUAUGGAGGCACUGUGUCGGCGUCACCGUCGCACUGUGCUGCCAGCCCUCCUCAGGCCCCUCUCCACCCAGCGACACCACCACACCCCCAGGCAAUUGUAGUUGCAGGUGUCAUCAGGUUAACCACACAUGAAGAAACUGUUCUGUAGUACAGGUGACCCCAUUUAAUGAACAGAUUACAUUCACAAAAAGCCUUUUGUUAAGUGAAAUUUCAUUAUGCCAGCCCAUUAUAACACAGGUCGAAUGAAGUUUGGAUUCAGAUACCCAGUUUAUCCCCAUCCUCCAGUAUGAACCUCUUAUUUUUCUCAAUCUGAUUCAUUGUUUGUGCUUUUAUGACCCUACCCCUUAAUUUAUUGCUACAUCUAUGAUUCAAUGCAUUACUGAUCAAUAAAUUACAAAAAUAACUUUGCAUAGUUAAGGUAGGGGAUUAGGGGCUGUAGCCUUCAAUGUUUUAUGAAAAGCCACAGAUCUCAAAUAGUGUUUUUUGUUAAACAAAAUUAGAAAUGGAUGGUAGGGUGGAAGUAAAGGGGUAUGCAUUUUCUCCAUUAAUGGUGCAGUGGUGGAGAAGGGGGAUGGAUGGUAGGGUGGAAGUAAAGGGUAUGCAUUUUCUCCAUUAAUGGUGCAGUGGUGGAGAAGGGGGAUGGAUGGUAGGGUGGAAGUAAAAGGGUAUGCAUUUUCUCCAUUAAUGGUGCAGUGGUGGAGAAGGGGGAUAAUCGGGGUGGUAGGAGCAAGAGGAGGGUGGUUGAUUGGGAUCAGGUGAGUGAGAGAACAUUUGAUUUAAAAUUGGCCAUGGAAAAGCACAAAACUUGUGGCGUUCAGUGUUAAUUUUGUUUAGGUUUAUGAAAGUACAAAAGCAGAAAAUCUAUUCCGUCCAACAAUUGUACCUUUAAGACUGGAUAAUUAGUGGGCUUCUAAAAUGUUCCUGCACUUAGUCAUGAUGAAGCUAGUCUUUAUAUUAUGUGAUAUUAUGAAUCUUGUCAUAUGUAUAUUUUCUCAGUACAUCAGAAGUAGCCGACACAUUUAUUUAAGUUUUUAGUUUGUCAAGAUGAAGUGAAAGUAAUAAAAAAGUACUAUA